GGGCGUAAGCGAGCGCAGGCGGUUUCUUAAGUCUGAUGUGAAAGCCCCCGGCUCAACCGGGGAGGGUCAUUGGAAACUGGGAGACUUGAGUGCAGAAGAGGAGAGUGGAAUUCCAUGUGUAGCGGUGAAAUGCGUAGAUAUAUGGAGGAACACCAGUGGCGAAGGCGGCUCUCUGGUCUGUAACUGACGCUGAGGCUCGAAAGCGUGGGGAGCAAACAGGAUUAGAUACCC
rnacentral:rRNA from 1 species